CUUGAAAUCAAUUUUACCUCUUGGGUUCAAAUGUGGACAUAUUACCGUUAGUGUAAAGCUCAGUGGACUCAGUGUGUUUUUCUCACGAGGAUGGCGUUUGAAAAGCUUACUCAUCGUGCAUCGUGUUGCGUCUCGCCUGAAACCUGCCAGAAGGGUUUUGUGUUACCGGACCUGGGUGCUGCAUGGAUGCGGACGGCUUGUUCAUGGGCGAAGCAACACUCAGGAAGAUCUUCUGUCGCCAGGAGACCCUGCGUGGGGUCGGCGGGAGACCCGCGCUCACUGAGUCACUGCUGCAGCCGGACAGGGUCCUCUUCCUGCCCUCCCCAUUGCUACGAGAGAAGACGGCAGCGUCAGGAAGCUACGAUAAGAUGAAGUGGCCUCGGACGAGACACUCGUGCAGCGCGCCGUGUCCUAUGACGAGGAAGAGGAAGCCAGGACGGGCACGGCUCAGCAGACGCAGAACUGGACAUCCUGACUUGAAUUUCCUGCCUGCCAGGCCAUCGGCAUCCUGACACAAUCCCCAGGCGGCGAUUUUACUCGCAAACAACAUUCAGAUUGAAGGGGGGGGGAGCACAGGUGAGCCUUGAAGGGGAAGACGCAGGACUCUUUUACACAAACAAUAUGUAAUAAUAGUUGAUUCUGCAUAGAAACGGCGAAAGUGAAAGAUGCACAGGCCGCUUUUGAAACUAACACUAUUCCCUCUAGGAGGGUUGUUGUGUGUCAGGGCGAUGGGGACUGAUUGACUGGACUUUCUGUGCAGCCAGGAUUGGUGCAUUUGGUGAAAGAGGGAGCUGUAGCAGCCUGAUAAAAAGAAAAAUCCCCCCUCACUUGAAGCUGCCACUUUGAAGACCGAUUGGGAAUUGUUUCCCCUCCGUCUGCGCUUCACACUUUCAAUCCAUUUGACGCGACGCGACUGAUGCACACGGCAAAGUUAAAGUCCCAUGUGACAGCUGGGAGGCUCCGAUUCAUGUCUGCGUGUGUUUGACAUCACACAUCCUUACAGGGAAACUCCACCGACUCUACACAACAAAGGCUGUUUGCAAUGUCUUGGGUAGUACGGCACUCCUGCAAUCAAUAUAAAUAUCACUGUGGCCUCAGCGGGAGCUGUGUGAGGUCUUAUCACUUUCGUCAGUCGGAGCUGAAAACUACAAGUCUGAAAAUAAAAAAAAAUGUGGAGUUUACCAGACCUUCUUCAGCCUGCACAUCAUAUCUGAUUAACCUCACAUGCCCGGAUCAAUGAAGAGUCAGAGUUGCAUUGUGGGUAAUGUAAGUGCAGCGUUUGGCUCAGAAAGAAAACUAUAUAUAAAUAUAUAUCUGUUCUGCUGCGUCCGGUUUGAUCUUUUUUUCUUUCAAACCAUCCACCGUGAGUCUGACGAUGUUGUGAAAGUGAAAUGCAAAAUGGGCGCAGUACCCUCGAACCCCCUCAUGCCUGACAGGGGGAGUCGGAGGGACGACAUCACACCCUCACUGCACAUUCUGCACAGCAGUGACACGGUGGAGCCCAACAAACGCAAAUGGUUCACUGACAGUCCAGCAAGCACCCUCCCUC